UCCCCGUUUUCCGAGGCAGUCCCCUUAGAGUGCCCGGCAUUACCCGAUGGCAACUAAGGGCAAGGGUUGCGCUCGUUGCGGGACUUAACCCAGCAUCUCACGACACGAGCUGACGACAGCCAUGCAGCACCUCUGCAGGAGUUCCAGAGGAAAGGGCCUGUUUCCAGACCUGUCACCUGCAGUUCAAGCCCUGGUAAGGUUCUUCGCGUUGCGUCGAAUUAAGCCACAUGCUCCGCCGCUUGUGCGGGUCCCCGUCAAUUCCUUUGAGUUUCAACCUUGCGGUCGUACUCCCCAGGCGGGGUACUUCCUGCGUUAGCGCCGGCACCCAGAGGGUCGCUCCCCCAGGCACCUAGUACCCAUCGUUUACGGCGUGGACUAC
rnacentral:misc_RNA from 1 species